AUUGAACGCUGGCGGCAGGCCUAACACAUGCAAGUCGAACGAGUGGCGGACGGGUGAGUAAUUUCUGGGAAACUGCCCGAUGGAGGGGGAUAACUACUGGAAACAGUAGCUAAUACCGCAUACCAUCGGAUGUGCCCAGAUGGGAUUCGCUAGUAGGUGGGGUAACGGCUCACCUAGGCGACGAUCCCUAGCUGGUCUGAGAGGCUGACCAGCAACACUGGAAGUGAGAGACGGUUCAGACUCAUACGGGAGUAAGCAUGGGGGAUGAUUGCACAAUGGGCGCAAGCCUGAUGCAGCGAUGCCGCGUGUAUGAAGAAGGCCUUCGGGUUGUAAAGUCCUUUCAGCGAGGAGGCGUUACUCGCAGAAGAAGCACCGGCUAACUCCGUGCAAGCAGCCGCGGUAAUA
rnacentral:rRNA from 1 species